UCUGGAAAUGGAAAACAAAAUGUGGGGGAGACCUGAAGAUGUUUUAACUAAUAAACAAUGUUUAAGACAUGGUCAGAAAAUUUUUCUAAACUGUUUCAUUUGUCACAGUUAGUUGCGGAAAACAACAGUUGGAUUCCAGCUCUACCGCUGUGGAGUGGGAUCGAAGGAAGCACACAAUUCAAAGGUGACUGCCAUCUUUUGGGGCUGCUAUCCCCCACGGCCAUUUUGUUUAUGCACUGUAUACCAGAAGUAGGAGAAUAAGAACAACAGACCUAGAAAUAAAACUACGCAGUUCCUACCACCAAGUACUCUGAAUUUCAUAUCUUCCUGCAGCGGUGAAGAACACAAACUGCACGCAAAGUCAUUCCUCACUGUGGCAGAUUCUGUAGCUCCGGGCACAUGCACCCUUAUGUAAUUAAACCCUGAAAAAGAAAGAAAAAAACAAAAAACUUAAGUAAAGGUUUAUAGUGAGAGGGCGGCCUUCAUUCACAGUGAGCUCAGAAGUAAUUAAAUACUGGGCAGAGAAAUGCCGAAGUGAAAAGCAUGUUCCUCCAGCACAGCCCGCUGCCUCUGGCACAAAAUGGCCGCCAGAUGGCGCCAUGCCCCUCUUCUGUGUUGUGUGGAAAGGACGCCAGACAGACACAUCCAUAACAUAAGACAUUUUUUGUUACAUACAAUUGUAUGUAAGAGCAUUGAUUUCUUCUACCACUACCUUCAGAGUAUGGGCAGGUUUCCCCAGUGCAAAGAAAUCUUGCUCCUUGGGUGUAUUUUGUGACGGUUCCCAUUGCAAUCGCUAUUCCUUCCGACGUAUAAAAUCUCUUAGAUGUGUAAUUAAAUGGAAACGCAGAAAGGCUGAGAACAUAACUCGGUAACGGUGGCAAAUGUGUUGGUUUCAGCAGUAUGCUUAUCUAACAAGAGACACGACGGCAUUAAUACAUUCAAUUAGUAUCCUUUUAUUUCAGAACGCUGGUUAUAAGUUCGAACUGGGGAAACAACGUGGACUCACUUGGGCCUCCGUCUGUAAUUGUUCGAUUAAUGACAGUGUCUUAAUAGCUACAAAACAUACCUGUAAUUGGAAAAUAACUUCACUUUAGAAAGGAAAAUAUACUUCAAAUAGAAGAGGAUUAUUUUUGUCAGCCCCGAUCACAGCUAUAAACUUACUGACUGAAAUAUCCCCGCAGCUUUCAUGGGCUUAUGAAGAACGUAGUUUCCAAGAGUGGCGUCCAAUUCAGCAACAUCAGAAGGGUUUACUGAGAUAACGAACCGAUAUACAGCAUAGCUCUGUUUUGAGUCUGCAGGGGCAAAAAUGGCCUUAAAAAUGACAGAGGUUUGCUUAACAAUACUUACCAAUGUUAACUAAAUAUCCACUGAAUGUGCCAUACCGUUGUAUUUUCUGCAGUCCUGCACAAAUUUCUCAAGUCCACCACUUCUGUCAAGGUAGACAAGGGUAAUUUCCUUCAUUUUCUGUGUUUCUUUGUACAUCUUCCAAAAAGAUCUUUGGACUUUUAGGGAGAAUUCUGGAAUAAGCUGUAAAGAAUUAGGUCAGAAUUGGCCACGUUGCCAAACACAGAUGUAGCUACCUGGUACAGAACAAAACACAGCAUUAAGAGGCUGAAGAGAAAGUAAAGCUCUUCAUUUAUGGAUGACUCAUGACAGCAGGUCACAGAAGCUGGUUUGGGAGGACAGAUCUGGGAGAGAACAGGGUACCUGAGGUGCACCUGUAUGGCGGCAGCAGAGAACUUCUUGUCAGAGAGCUGUAUGCUGCGGGUGGGCUGGUAGAUGUGUUCUACUGGCCUGAAGUGUCACGUUUUAUGCACAAAUUGAAGGAGAACUUACGUUAGGGUUUAUUUUUCAAUUUCUUUGGGAUUAAUCCCACGCAAUUACCUUCCCACCCCUUCAAAUCUUCUACAAGAAGAGAUUAAAGUCCAGCUGAACACGGACUCUCCUUCCCCGCACCGCCCUGAGUCCCGCCCCACAGGAUUCCCGCCGCUUCGUGAGGGGAAAGGCGGCCCCGCGCGGCCAGUCCUAACGCUCCUCCAUCCGUCACAGAUGGCACCUCCUCUCCACAAGCACCUGCCGCAGCAGGAAGGAAAUAUCGCCGCUGUUCCCUCGUGGGCUCUUCUCCUGCCUCGGAUUUAUCACCAUUUGAGAUUUUACCCCUCAACUCAGCGUUCUGUGAAGGGCCUGCCCCACUUUCACCAUCUUACUGCAACAAUUUCUGCCUUCCAGUCCACUAGAAAGACAUUCUUUGCUGCCAAAUCAUCACAACUGCAAUUCAUAUAUGUCACUGGCUGUCCUGAACAGCUGUGUAGCUGCUUCCAAAGGUCUCAAAACUUCAGUGGGACAGGAUAGGAAACGAGCACAGAGCCACCACGCUCCUCCCACAGACAAUACAGUUCCUUCUUUCCAUUCCAAUGUCAGUUCCUCCUUGCUUUACCCAGAGUCUCCUUCCCACACCUCACACAGCAACUACUCACCAUUACUUAAGUGAAAGAAUGAAAAAAGAAAACAAUCCUGGCUUAGCUUCCACUUGCCUAAUGCUUUGCUCCGACAGUGUUAAUUUCAAGAAUAAUUAUAAUUUUGCUGACAGGUUGAUAGUUCCCUACGUUCCUUUCUACCCUUCUUAAAAAUGGGUGCUACACUGCCUUUUUUCCAGUCACCAAGGACUUCACCUGACCACCAUGACUUCUCACACAUCAUUCAGACUGGGUCAGCAACUACAUCAGCCAGUUCCCUCAGGACUCUGGCUGCUCUUAUGUGUCCUAUCAGACUUCCCUCAAACCAAGGCUUUCAACUGAAUGCAUUUACAAAUAACAAAACCAAAGCAAAACAGAACAAAAAACCAAACACACCACAGAAUGAUUACGAAGGAACAGACAAAAAUAAGUUGUUAUUUACAAGUGAUAUACAUAAUAACACUACUACCUGCCGUGAGAGGCUUUUAUGGACUAACUGCAGUACUUGCAUUGUUAAGUUUUCCUCACACAGAAGUGGAUCCAAUGAUCAGUUUCUCCAUACACAUGAGUGUUACGAGAAAUACACUAACUCUGCACGUUCCUAUAAUUAUCAACACUAUUUACAUUUUUUUUUUUUCCAAAUAUAAUGUGAAGAUUUACAAAUGGUCCAAAAUGGGACACAAAGGCAAGUAGCUCUGCAUGUUGAAAUACAAGUGAUUUGGAACAUAUUGCUGUUUCCAAAUACAAAUCAGUGAGAAAAGUACUUAAUGUUAGGUGCGAUCCCCUCACCAUCCACCGCAGGAAGGUUAAAGUAAGACAGCCUUUCAAAAUAGCACUGAUUAUAGCAUAUUAUAUCUUUGGAAAAGCAGAGUUUUAACCAAAAAUAUUUUUAAUGCGGUUGAAAUACAGACAUCUAUUUAUCUCAGGGAGGUAAAAAAAAAAAAA